UUUUCGGUCGCUUGCAAUAACGUUCGGUUUACUCGGUCAGGUUCGGAAGAAAGCAGCCAAAGUCGAAAUGUUUAUGUGCCGAGACUUAGCUGGAGGUGC
rnacentral:SRP_RNA from 1 species